GACAGAGGGUGCAAACGUUGUUCGGAUUUACUGGGCGUAAAGCGCGUGUAGGCGGCUUUGCAAGUCGGAUGUGAAAGCCCACGGCUCAACCGUGGAAGUGCAUCCGAAACUGCAUGGCUCGAGUCUCGGAGAGGAAGGUGGAAUGCUUGGUGUAGAGGUGAAAUUCGUAGAUAUCAGGAGGAACACCAGUGGCGAAGGCGGUGCUCUGGGCCGGAACUGACGCUGAGGAGCGAAAGCGUGGGGAGCAAACAGG
rnacentral:rRNA from 1 species